UACGGAGGAUCCAAGCGUUAUCCGGAAUCAUUGGGUUUAAAGGGUCCGUAGGCGGUUUGGUAAGUCAGUGGUGAAAGCCCAUCGCUCAACGGUGGAACGGCCAUUGAUACCGCCAGACUUGAAUUAUUAGGAAGUAACUAGAAUAUGUAGUGUAGCGGUGAAAUGCUUAGAGAUUACAUGGAAUACCAAUUGCGAAGGCAGGUUACUACUAAUGGAUUGACGCUGAUGGACGAAAGCGUGGGUAGCGAACAGG
rnacentral:rRNA from 1 species